rfam:Schistosoma curassoni strain Dakar, Senegal genome assembly, scaffold: SCTD_scaffold0000479
AUCCAGCUGAAGAGUCCGAAGUUGAUCGAAACGCGCGUCCUGGAU